rnacentral:lncRNA from 1 species
GAAACAUCAAGCAGCGUCAAAUCUGACCAUAUCAGACUACUGACUGCAACCUGUCACAUAGCCGCACCAGAUAAUUGGGAACAACCAUAUUUAACACAGUCCUUCAGUGAAAAGAUUCUUGUCGGUCUUCUUGGGGGGAAGAUUGUUAUCUACAAAGCAAGCAUUCUGUCUGAAUAUAAGAAAAAGGCACCUGGAAAAGAAAGGACUUUUAAUUUUUUGUUAAAGAGUAUACAAGAAGAAGGUCCUGCCUGUCCUACUGAAGUACCAAAGGUCCAGUUUGUGAAGUGA